AUGCCACCGGGAUUACCGCCUAUUCGAGGGAUUGAGCAUCAGAUUGACUUAAUUCCCGGUGCUUCACUGCCAAACCGUGCACCAUACCGUACCAAUCCAGAGGAGACGAAGGAGAUUAUGCGUCAAGUACAAGAGCUUCUCGACAAAGGUUAUAUACGCGAAUCCCUUAGUCCUUGUGCUGUUCCUAUUAUUCUAGUGCCGAAAAAGGAUGGUACAUCACGUAUGUGUGUUGAUUGUAGAGGCAUUAAUAAUAUUACUAUUCGUUAUCGUCAUCCUAUUCCUAGGCUAGAUGAUAUGCUUGAUGAAUUGAGUGGCUCUACAAUAUUCUCCAAAGUUGAUUUGCGUAGUGGCUACCAUCAAAUUCGUAUGAAAUUGGGAGAUGAAUGGAAAACAGCAUUUAAAACUAAGUUUGGAUUAUAUGAGUGGUUAGUCAUGCCUUUUGGGUUAACUAAUGCACCCAGUACUUUCAUGAGAUUAAUGAACGAAGUUUUGCGUGCUUUCAUUGGACGAUUUGUGGUAGUUUACUUUGAUGACAUAUUGAUUUAUAGUAGAUCUUUGGAAGAACAUUUGGAACAUUUACGUGCUGUUUUUAUUGCUCUACGUGAUGCACGUUUGUUUGGUAACCUUGGGAAGUGCACCUUUUGCACCGACCGAGUAUCUUUUCUUGGCUAUGUUGUUACUCCACAGGGAAUUGAAGUUGAUAAAGCCAAGAUUGAAGCUAUGAGAGUUGGCCGCAACCCAAAACGGUCACACAAGUGA
rnacentral:rRNA from 1 species